AUAGCGUAUAGUACCGUGAGGGAAAGGUGAAAAGAACCCCGGGAGGGGAGUGAAAUAGAACCUGAAACCCUGCACUUACAAGCUGUGGAAGCACAUUUCUUGUGUGACCGCGUACUUUUUGUAGAACGGGCCAACGAGUUACGUUAAGUAGCAAGGUUAAGCACUUAAGGUGCGGAGCCGUAGCGAAAGCGAGUUUUAACUGAGCGUUCAGUUACUUGACGUAGACCCGAAACCGGGCGACCUACCCAUGAGCAGGAUGAAGCGAAAGUAAAAUUUCGUGGAGGUCCGAACCCACGAGCGUUGAAAAGCUCGGGGAUGACUUGUGGGUAGCGGUGAAAUUCCAAUCGAGCCCGGAGAUAGCUGGUUCUCCCCGAAAUAGCUUUAGGGCUAGCCUCAAGGUGAGAGAUACGGAGGUAGAGCACUGAAUGUCCUAGGGGGUAUUGCACCUACCGAAGACUAUCAAACUCCGAAUGCCGUCAUCUUAUACUUGGGAGUCAGACUGUGGGUGAUAAGAUUCAUAGUCGAAAGGGCAACAGCCCAGAUCGUCAGCUAAGGUCCCUAA
rnacentral:rRNA from 1 species